CGUAGGGGGCAAGCGUUGUCCGGAUUUAUUGGGCGUAAAGAGCGUGUAGGCGGCCAGGUAGGUCAGCUGUGAAAACUCGAGGCUCAACCUCGAGAUGUCGGCUGAAACCAUCUGGCUAGAGUCCGGAAGAGGAGAAUGGAGUUCCCGGUGUAGCGGUGAAAUGCGCAGAUAUCGGGAAGAACACCCGUGGCGAAGGCGGUUCUCUGGGACGGUACUGACGCUGAGACGCGAAAGCGUGGGGAGCGAACAGGAUUAGAUACCCUGGUAGUCCACGCCGUAAACGAUGGGAACUAGGUGUGGGCGGUGUCGACUCCGUCCGUGCCGAAGCUAACGCAUUAAGUUCCCCGCCUGGGGAGUACGGCCGCAAGGCUA
rnacentral:rRNA from 1 species